UAAGGAAUAUUGGUCAAUGGACGCAAGUCUGAACCAGCCAUGCCGCGUGGAGGAUUAAGGCCCUCUGGGUUGUAAACUCCUUUUAUCUGGGAAGAAAUGUACUUUUUCUUGAGUACUUGAUGGUACCAGAGGAAUAAGCACCGGCUAACUCCGUGCCAGCAGCCGCGGUAAUACGGAGGGUGCAAGCGUUAUCCGGAUUCACUGGGUUUAAAGGGUGCGUAGGUGGGCAGAUAAGUCAGUGGUGAAAUCUUCCGGCUUAACCGGGAAACUGCCGUUGAUACUAUUUGUCUUGAAUAUUGCGGAGGUAAGCGGAAUAUGUCAUGUAGCGGUGAAAUGCUUAGAUAUGACAUAGAACACCAAUUGCGAAGGCAGCUUACUACACAAUCAUUGACACUGAGGCACGAAAGCGUGGGUAGCGAACA
rnacentral:rRNA from 1 species